CCGUGCCAGCAGCCGCGGUAAUACGGGAGGGUGCGAGCGUUUAAUCGGAAUUACUGGGCGUAAAAGCGCAUGCAGGUGGUUUUGUUAAGUCAGAUGUGAAAGCCCGGGGCUCAACCUCGGAAUUGCAUUUGAAACUGGCAAACUAGAGUACUGUAGAGGGGGGUAGAAUUUCAGGUGUAGCGGUGAAAAUGCGUAGAGAUCUGAAGGAAUACCGGUGGCGAAGGCGGCCCCCUGGACAGAUACUGACACUCAGAUGCGAAAGCGUGGGGAGCAAACAGGAUUAGAUACCCUGGUAG
rnacentral:rRNA from 1 species